GGCGGUGCGCAAUCACCAGGACGGUGUGUCUGUGCAUGAUAGUGUUCAGAGCCUGCUGAACCUGAGGGGGGAGAAGAAGAGAAGUCAGCUGCAUAAAACAUGUUUCGAGAUUCUGGAUCGUGGACAGCUGGCAUGCCGUACACCAGUGAGUGAGUGUUCCUCCAAGGCAAGGGCGCUGGUGGCCUCGUCCAGGAUGAGCACGUGGGGAUUCCGGAUCAGGGCGCGAGCGAUGGCCACUCUCUGCUUCUGACCGCCGGAGA